CUAACUUUGUCAGCCUGUAUACUAAAAUUGGAACAAUACUGAGAAUAUCAGCAUUUCCUGAACAAGGGUGAUACACAAAUUUAUGAAGCAUUACAUAUUUUU
rnacentral:snRNA from 1 species